GAUGAACGCUGGCGGCGUGCCUAAUACAUGCAAGUCGAGCGAACAGACGAGGAGCUUGCUCCUCUGACGUUAGCGGCGGACGGGUGAGUAACACGUGGAUAACCUACCUAUAAGACUGGGAUAACUUCGGGGAACCGGAGCUACUACCGGAUAAUAUAUUGAACCGCAUGGAUCAAUAGUGAAAGGCGGUUUUGCUGUCACUUAUAGCUGGACCCGCACCGCCUUAGCUAGUUGGUAAGGUAACGGCCUACCAAGGCGACGAUGCGUAGCCGACCUGAGGGGGUGAUCGGCCACACUGGAACGGGGACACGGUCCAGCCUCCUAGGGAAGGCAGCAGUAGGGAAUCUGCCGCAAUGGGCGAAAGCCUGACGGAGCAACGCGGCGUGAGUGAUGAAGGUCUUCGGAUCGUAAAACUCUGUUAUUAGGGAAGAACAAAUGUGUAAGUAACUAUGCACGUCUGGACGGUACCAAAGCAGAAAGCCACGGCUAACUACGU
rnacentral:rRNA from 1 species